UACAGAGGUCCCAAGCGUUGUUCGGAUUCAUUGGGCGUAAAGGGUGCGUAGGUGGCGCCGUAAGUCGGGUGUGAAAUUUCGGAGCUUAACUCCGAAACUGCAUUCGAUACUGCGGUGCUUGAGGACUGGAGAGGAGACUGGAAUUCCUGGUGUAGCAGUGAAAUGCGUAGAUAUCAGGAGGAACACCGAUGGCGAAGGCAGGUCUCUGGGCUGACACUGACGCUCAUGCACGAAAGCGUGGGGAGCAAACAGG
rnacentral:rRNA from 1 species